rnacentral:rRNA from 1 species
CUACGGGCGGCAGCAGUGGGGAAUAUUGGACAAUGGGCGAAAGCCUGAUCCAGCCAUGCCGCGUGUGUGAAGAAGGCCUUCGGGUUGUAAAGCACUUUCAGUGGGGAAGAAAGCCUUGGGGCUAAUACCCUCGAGGAAGGACAUCACCCACAGAAGAAGCACCGGCUAACUCCGUGCCAGCAGCCGCGGUAAUACGGAGGGUGCGAGCGUUAAUCGGAAUUACUGGGCGUAAAGCGCGCGUAGGCGGUCUGAUAAGCCGGUUGUGAAAGCCCCGGGCUCAACCUGGGAACGGCAUCCGGAACUGUCAGGCUAGAGUGCAGGAGAGGAAGGUAGAAUUCCCGGUGUAGCGGUGAAAUGCGUAGAGAUCGGGAGGAAUACCAGUGGCGAAGGCGGCCUUCUGGACUGACACUGACGCUGAGGUGCGAAAGCGUGGGUAGCAAACAGGAUUAGAUACCCUAGUAGUC